rnacentral:rRNA from 1 species
AGAGUUUGAUCCUGGCUCAGAAUCAACGCUGGCGGCGUGCCUAACACAUGCAAGUCGAACGCGAAAGCCCCGCAAGGGGUCAGUAGAGUGGCAAACGGGUGAGUAACACGUGGGUGAUCUGCCUCAGAGUGGGGGAUAACGACCCGAAAGGGUCGCUAAUACCGCAUAACAUCCUGCCUUUGGAUAGGUGGAGAUCAAAGUUGGGGAUCCGCAAGGACCUGACGCUUGGAGAGGAGCCCGCGGCCGAUUAGCUAGUUGGUGAGGUAACGGCUCACCAAGGCAACGAUCGGUAUCCGGCCUGAGAGGGCGGACGGACACACUGGGACUGAGACACGGCCCAGACUCCUACGGGAGGCAGCAGUGGGGAAUUGUUCGCAAUGGGCGCAAGCCUGACGACGCAACGCCGCGUGGAGGACGAAGAUUUUCGGAUCGUAAACUCCUUUCGAUCGGGAAGAACAGCUUUUGGGUUAAUAGCCUGAGAGUCUGACGUACCGAGA